CAAUAGCGUAUAUUAAAGUUGUUGCAGUUAAAAAGCUCGUAGUCGGAUUUCUGGCUUGGAAGAGCGGUCCGCUGACCUUGUCAGAUGUGAACUAGCGUUUUCCAGCCAUCCUCGUGGAGAGCUGUCAAUGGGUGACCCUCGUUGUCAUGCGAUCCACGUCAUUUACUGUGAACAAAUUAGAGUGUUCAAAGCAGGCUUACGCCACUGAAUACAUUAGCAUGGAAUAAUCCUAUAGGACUUUGGUGAUUCUAUUGUUGGUUACGCACCAGAGUAAUGAUUAAUAGGGAUAGUUGGGGGUAUUCGUAUUCAAUUGUCAGAGGUGAAAUUCUUGGAUUUAUGGAAGACGAACAACUGCGAAAGCAUUUACCAAGGAUGUUUUCAUUGA
rnacentral:rRNA from 1 species